CACGCCCGGUUCACGCAGGUAGACGUCGAGGAGGAGGAGGAGGAGUAAUUUAUAGACUUCAGUGCUGUCUCCAAAGACCAGCCUUUUUUCUCAAAAACUUGCUGAUGGAGACAUAAGUGGUGCAAGUGGUCUGCCUUGAUAUACAAUUGCAGUUUCUACAUGAUGUGGACUUCUCCUCUAUCAGUGACACAGUCAUGAAGUAACUUGAUGUGUGAAGCCUGCCACCCUCUGGUUUC